UAACACGUGGGCAACCUGCCCUUUGCACUGGGAUAGCCUCGGGAAACCGAGGUUAAUACCGGAUACUCCAUAUUUGUCGCAUGGCGAAUAUGGGAAAAGCUCCGGCGGCAAAGGAUGGGCCCGCGGCCUGUUAGCUAGUUGGUGGGGUAGUGGCCUACCAAGGCAAUGAUGGGUAGCCGGGUUGAGAGACCGACCGGCCAGAUUGGGACUGAGACACGGCCCAGACUCCUACGGGAGGCAGCAGC
rnacentral:rRNA from 1 species